rnacentral:rRNA from 1 species
UUUUUGUUUCCCGGGGAGAUAAGCAUAUCAAUAAGMRGMSGRRARKARACUAACAAGGAUUCCCCUCAGUAACUGCGAGUGAAGCGGGAAAAGCUCAAAUUUUAAAAUCUGGCGGUCUUUGGCUGUCCGAGKUGUAAAUCUAGAGAAGUGUUAUCCGCGCUGGACCGUGUACAAGUCUCCUGGAAUGGAGCGUCAUAGAGGGUGAGAAUCCCGUCUUUGACACGGACUGCCAGUGCUUUGUGAUGCGCUCUCAAAGAGUCGAGUUGUUUGGGAAUGCAGCUCAAAAUGGGUGGUAAAUUCCAUCUAAAGCUAAAUAUUGGCGAGAGACCGAUAGCGAACAAGUACCGUGAGGGAAAGAUGAAAAGAACUUUGGAAAGAGAGUUAAACAGUACGUGAAAUUGUUGAAAGGGAAACGCUUGAAGUCAGUCGCGUCGUCCGGGGAUCAACCUUGCUUUUGCUGGGUGUACUUUCCGGUUGACGGGUCAGCAUCAAUUUUGACCGUUGGAUAAAGUUCAGGGGAAUGUGGCAUCUUCGGAUGUGUUAUAGCCCUUGGUCGCAUACAACGAUUGGGAUUGAGGAACUCAGCACGCCGCAAGGCCGGGAAUUUAUUCCACGUUCGUGCUCAGGAUGCUGGCAUAAUGGCUUUAAUCGACCCGUCUUGAAACACGGACCAAGGAGUCUAACAUGCCUGCGAGUGUUUGGGUGGAAAACCCGAGCGCGUAAUGAAAGUGAAAGUUGAGAUCCCUGUCGCGGGGAGCAUCGACGCCCGGACCAGACCUUUUGUGACGGAUCCGCGGUAGAGCAUGUAUGUUGGGACCCGAAAGAUGGUGAACUAUGCCUGAAUAKGGUUGAAGCCAGAGGAAACUCUGGUGGAGGCUCGUAGCGAUUCUGACGUGCAAAUCGAUCGUCAAAUUUGGGUAUAGGGGCGAAAGACUAAUCGAACCAUCUWKYRGCUGGUUCCUGCCGAAUCUCCCCCCGGAAAAAAAAAAGAAAGA